CAGAUUUACUUAAGUUUAAAAAUGUGAGUUGACUUAAAGAAAGUUGUGAAGUAAAUAAUGGAACAUGGAAUGUGGGUAUGAUAAAGUUCUGAAGAUGCCCCACAAGAGUGCACCUUCUGAAACAUGGCCCUACCAUGACGUCCUUUCAUGACGCUGCCUUUGCACACACAUUAGCGUAAAGGAACUCGGUACUUGGGGGAAAACAAUGAAAUGAAUGAAUCAUCUCUCCCUUCUCUUCCAACCAACCAACAAAUGAAUGGACCACCAGCAACAAAAGGUUCCAAUGAAGAUUUGAUGAAGGCAAAGAAGCUGCAACACCUUUCAGACCUUUGGGCUCACACCAUUAAUACCUCUGAUCUUGAAGACAAACGACAAUUUGGGUUCAGCAGAGCAAGCAUUAGAUUUCCCUGUGCAGACCGUGUUGUGAUUCAAUGGCCGUUACUUGUCUGCAGGCAAUGGAGUGGCUCUAGAGAAGGACACACAUCUUGUAGCAAUGCAUCUGACUCAGGUAUGAUUGACAGCAAAGUGGAAGCUAUAAGACUUUCUAUAACCUGGCUCAGAAACUAUGGGAAUUCAUGUCUGCUGCAUUAUGCUGGUAAAAAGUGAGUGAGAAGGCCAGCCCAAAUUCAAGAAAGGAGACCACACAAGAAUGUGAAUAACAAGAGGCUGUUUCAUUCUGAGGUCACCUCUGGAGCCUAGCUACCAAAUGUUGUUUAUUAAAUUUUCUAACUAUUUAAAUAAAGAUAUACAUUUACUUAUAAGCACAGCUUUUUCUGCAUUAUCUAGGU
rnacentral:lncRNA from 1 species